UGUGGAGCUCUGCCUCUCCCAGACUCCUAUCCCAGCUUCUGGUCAUGUUUGGGGCAUCUUAUAAUGCAAAAAGAAGUCAGACAACUUUCCCGGUGGAGUCCUUUAGAAGAAGCACCUGCAGACUUUCUCCUGUUGGGAAACGUGUGGCUGCUUUUAUGUCUUUGUGAGUGACAUGAGCAUGCCUAGCAGGCGCACAGUGUUCUGUGUGAGAAACUUAACACUGGACAGAGAACACACAGGCUAACAAGACCCUAUGAAGCACCUAAUUGGUAGUUCUGUCAUGCAGACUCUCAUUCUCUCCUCAUCCACCCCUCCUCCAUCUGCUUCACAUCCAGCCCCUGAAGGACACAUAUGCAUGAAGGGAAGCAAACGACAUGCAUAUGAUGUCAAGCAAACCGUUAACACAAUAUUGGCACGUAGCUAUAGGUGUACGAUACGAGAUGUUUGCACAUGUUUGCGAAGCCCUAAGUGUUCAUUAAAAGUCUGCGGCUGA